AACAUGCCAGCAGCCCUCCCUCGCUCUCGGAGCCUCCUCGGCCUCAGCGUCCGCUCUGUCCGCGCUCGAGGAGCCCUUCAGCCCGCCGCUGCGCUGUGGGGGCCCUCUCUCUGGGGCUGGCCUAGGCCGGAGCCGGCUCCCUCUGCUCCUUCUGCUCAGGGAGGUGUGGAGCGGGAGGCGCGGGCGGGAGCCGGGGCUGCGCAAGGCGCUGGCGGGCCAGCGCGGGUUCCAGGUGGGCGCGGGCUCAGCGGGCCUGCACUCCGCACGGCUGGCUGGCGCCUCCUGAGCUUGAUCAGUGGUCAAGCUCCCUCUGGGCUGCCAGAGUGCCCAGGCUAGGUGCCGCACAGUCCCCAUGGUAAGUGCCAGUGAGAGGUGAAGCCGGCCGGGCUUCUGGGACGGGUGGGGACUUGGAGAACUUUUGUGUCUAGCUAAAGGAUUGUAAACGCACCAAUCCGUACUCUGUCAAAACGGACCAAUCCGCUCUCUGUAAAGUGGACCAAUCAACUCUCUGUAAAAUGGACCAAUCAGCAGGAUGUGGGUGGGGCCAGAUAAGGGAAUAAAUCAGGCCGCCCCAGUCAACAGCUGCAACCCGGUAGGUUAUCUUACUCAGCUGUGGAAGCUUUGUUCUCUCAGUCUUCUCAGUAAAUCUUGCUGCUGCUGACUUUUGGGGUCCGUGCUGCGUAUGAGAGCUGUAACACUCACUGCGAAGGUCUGCAGCUUCACUCGUGAAGUCAGUGAGACCACAAACCCACCAGAAGGAAGAAACUCCGGGCACGUCCAACUGCGGACACACCAUCUUUAAGAACUGUAACACUCGCCGCGAGGGUCUGUGGCUUCAUUCUUGAAGUCAGCGAGACCAAGAACCCAGCAAUUCCAGACACGUAACUAUAUUGUAGCUGCUGGCUCCCAUAUUUGAGAACUGAAGUUUCCACCUCAUUUACCCGUCCACUCUCAAGGCUUUUUCAACCUUGGGCACUCUUCCUGGCAUAAGCAAAGACUGCCGCUAGAAACCACUACAUUUGUAAGAAACAUAAGGCUUCGAGAAGGCCAUACAACUGUACAUGUUUGAAAUUCCUUGUCCAGGAUGUGGUGACAUAAUACACUGAAUCCAUUCAAGAGUCAAUGGUGAUCUCAGUGAUGCUUGUGGUUGGAAUAUUUUUUGUAAUGAAAAUAGUUAGAAUCUGUUGAUUAAGUACCUGUUAAGGUGUGCCUUUAAAUUAAGAAUUAGGAAUGCUGCAUGCAUAAUAUUAUAUUUCUUCAAAUCAGAAAUAAAAUAUCCCAUAUGUAGAACUUGUCUAUAUGAAAAAAAAAUCAGGAA
rnacentral:lncRNA from 10 species